rnacentral:rRNA from 1 species
GAUGAACGCUGGCGGCGUGCCUAAUACAUGCAAGUCGAGCGAACAGACGAGGAGCUUGCUCCUCUGACGUUAGCGGCGGACGGGUGAGUAACACGUGGAUAACCUACCUAUAAGACUGGGAUAACUUCGGGAAACCGGAGCUCGUACCGGAUAAUAUAUUGAACCGCAUGGUUCAAUAGUGAAAGACGGUUUUGCUGUCACUUAUAGAUGGAUCCGCGCCGCAUUAGCUAGUUGGUAAGGUAACGGCUUACCAAGGCAACGAUGCGUAGCCGACCUGAGAGGGUGAUCGGCCACACUGGAACUGAGACACGGUCCAGACUCCUACGGGAGGCAGCAGUAGGGAAUCUUCCGCAAUGGGCGAAAGCCUGACGGAGCAACGCCGCGUGAGUGAUGAAGGUCUUCGGAUCGUAAAACUCUGUUAUUAGGGAAGAACAAAUGUGUAAGUAACUAUGCACGUCUUGACGGUACCUAAUCAGAAAGCCACGGCUAACUACGUG